GCACACUAAGGCAAUCACAGCAAUGUUCCUGUGCUGUGCAUCUCAACUCAGGUCUCCAAGUGCCUUGGGAAGAGACUCCAAGCUCAUGCAUUAUUCAUCUGCAAUAACUAUCUUUUAAAUUGUAAGAGGAACUUCCUCAGCAUCAUGACUGCUUCCAGUGGUGGAAUCUGCUGAAAACUUUGUGAGCUGCAGUCAGAGAAUUCUAGACCCUUUGCUUCUGGCACCGAUAUGAGUGUUACACCAAAAACGUCGUGAAAGAUCAGCAGGAAUCACAGCCAGGGGCUUUGAGACAUCCAUUAACCCAAUAUCACACUGGUGAGAAGUGAUUUUUUGUCUUUCCUAACUGGAAUAAAGAAAAUUGAGUACAACACCACCACUUGGAGAGUUGAUAAUCCUUGCUGAGGCAGCCCUGGCAGGCUGGGCUCUGUAGAGGUGUUGUUUGAUUUUAACUUUGAAUAUGGAUGAGACACUUUGGUUUGCAGAGCUGUUUUCUUUAUGUGAGGAUAAGUGAGAUGCUGCUGGGAUACAGCAUUUUCCCCUUAUGCUUUCAAAUCUUUCACAAAGACUCAGACAUAAUCAUUGUCCCCCAGUUAUAUAAGCAAGUGUCCCUCAGUUCAUCAAGCACAGAGAAAUAUUACCUGUGCCACUGCCAUUGUUAAAAUGGAUUGCAAGAGGAAGGCAUAAAAUAAGAUUUUGACAGCAAGGGAGACAAAGAGAUGAAAAAGAAAAUGUGAUUUUUCUCCAGAACAUGCAGAUUAUUUUCUAAAUCCUAAAGAGUGACUAUUUCUGGGGAAUACAAAUCAGGCAGCACAAAGGAAGAAAAAUAAAUUAGAUGCACAGCCAGGUAAAU